GAUGAACGCUGGCGGCGUGCCUAAUACAUGCAAGUCGAGCGAACGGACGAGAAGCUUGCUUCUCUGAUGUUAGCGGCGGACGGGUGAGUAACACGUGGAUCACCUACCUAUAAGACUGGGAUAACUUCGGGAAACCGGAGCUACUACUGCAUCAUAUUUUGAACCGCAUGGUUCAAAAGUGAUUGACGGUUUUGCUGUCACUUAUAGCUGGAUCCGCGUUGCAUUAGCUAGUUGGUAAGGUAACGGCUUACCAAGGCAACGAUGCAUAGCCGACCUGAGAGGGUGAUCAGCCACACUGGAACUGAGACACGGUCCAGACUCCUACGGGAGGCAGCAGUAGGGAAUCUUCCGCAAUGGGCGAAAGCCUGACGGAGCAACGCCGCGUGAGUGAUGAAGGUCUUCGGAUCGUAAAACUCUGUUAUUAGGGAAGAACAGAUGUGUAAGUAACUGUGCACAUCUUGACGGUACCUAAUCAGAAAGCCACGGCUAACUACGUG
rnacentral:rRNA from 1 species